rnacentral:lncRNA from 1 species
UUCUGCACUCAAGGAUAUUGAUAAUCUGCUUUUUCUCUCCAUGUGUUAUUUUUGUUUAUUCUAGAAUUUCAUAUAAUAGGAAUAACACUGUUUGUUUGUUAUUUGUUUGUUUUUUGCAUGUCUAGCUUCUUGUGUUCACCUGAUAUGUUUGAAAUUUGUUCACAUUAUUGCCUGUAUCUAUAGUUUUAUUUUUUGCUUUCAGUUUUUAACCACAUAGCAUUCCAACUAUACCACAAGUUAUAUAUGUAUCCACCAAUUUUGAAUAUUAAUCAUGUUUGCAGUUUUGUACUGUUUCAAAAGGAGCUGCAGCAGACAUCAGAAACAAGUAUUUGCAUACUAGAUCUUAUAAUUUCUUUUGUAUGAAUACCUAGAAAUAGAAUUGCUAGAUCAUAGGGUAGAUGUGAACCUAACUUUAUAAGAAAUUAUCAAACCUUUUUUAAAAGUUGUUAGAUUGGGGCUGGGGUUGUGGCUCAGCAGUAGAGUGCUUGCUUAGCACAUGUGAGGCCCUGAGUUCAAUCCUUAGCACCACAUAAAAAUAAAUAAAUAAAUAGGUAUUGUAUCCAACUACAACAACAAAAAAAUAUUUUUUAAAAAAGUUGUUAGAUUAUUUUUCACUCCUGCCACUAUCCUGUGAUUGAUCAUUCCAGUUGUUCUUUAUCCUUGCCAGCACUUAAUAUUGUCAGUCUUUAGUUACCCUAAUUAGUAUAAGUCGUAUUUCUUAAAUUUUGAUGAAGUCCAAUUUAUCAAGUUUUUUUAUGCCACCUUUUUUGUAUUCUAAGAAAAGUUGCCAACCCCGAAGAUUUUAUCCUACUUUUUUCCUAGAGGCCUUAUUAUUUUAGCUUUUGCAUUUAUAUGUUUGAUCUGUUUAGAAUUAAUUUUUGUAAUGAUAUGUCAUAAGGAUUUAGGUUCUAUCUUUUUUCCCCCCAUAUAUAAAGCUAUUCCAGCAGAUUCAUUUUCUCCUCAUGCUUAUAGUUGUCUCAGCACCAUUUGUAAAAUUACUUUUUAUUUACUUGCCAAGUUAUUUUGAAAUUCAUUUGACCAUGGAUUGUCUGUUCUGGGGCUAUUCUUGCUUUAAAAGUUUGUGGGGUUUUAAUUAGAAUUGCAUAGAAUUUACAGAUAAUUUAGGAGGAAUUGAUAUCUUAACUAAAUUGAGUCUCAAGUCUAUGAACAUGAUAUUUCUGCCAUUUUUUUAAGUGUUCUGUAAUCUCUCUCAGCAUUGUUUUAUAAUUUCCAGUAUCUAGGUUUUACGUAUAUUUUAGGUUUGUCCAUAAGUGGUUUAUGUUUCUUAUACUAUCAUAAGUGGUAUUUUAAAAAAUUCUCCUUGCUGUUUAUUCAUUGCUGGUUUAAUAAAUUUAUUUUGGUGUAAUUGAC